UACGGGGGGGGCAAGCGUUUGUUCGGAAUUACUGGGCGUAAAGGGUUCGUAGGUGGCCAACUCAGUCAGACGUGAAAUCCCUCAGCUCAACUGGGGAACUGCGUCUGAUACUAGAUGGCUCGAGUGCAGGAGAGGAACGCGGAAUUCCAGGUGUAGCGGUGAAAUGCGUAGAUAUCUGGAGGAACACCGGUGGCGAAGGCGGCGUUCUGGACUGCAACUGACACUGAGGAACGAAAGCCAGGGGAGCAAACGGG
rnacentral:rRNA from 1 species